rnacentral:rRNA from 1 species
GUGCACCAGUCGAGAAACUUUACAAUGUGCGAAAGCACGAUAAGGGAACUCUGAGUGCCUCCUAAGGAGGCUGUUCAGGUGUCUAAAAGCACCUGAAGGAAGGGCUGGGUAAGACCGGUGCCAGCCGCCGCGGUAACACCGGCAGCCCAAGUGGUAGCCACGUUUAUUGGGUCUAAAGCGUCCGUAGCCGGCUGGGUAAGUUCCUUGGGAAAUUUGGCUGCUUAACAGUCAAGCUUUCAGGGAAUACUGCCCGGCUUGGGACCGGGAGAGGUCAGAGGUACUCCAGGGGUAGGGUGAAAUCCAUUAAUCCUUGGGGGACCACCGGUAGCGAAGGCGUCUGACCAGACCGGGUCCGACGGUGAGGGACGAAGGCUA